rnacentral:misc_RNA from 1 species
GAAAUGCGAUAAGUAAUGCGAAUUGCAGAAUUUCCGUGAGUCAUCGAAUCUUUGAACGCACAUUGCGCCCAUUGGUAUUCCGAUGGGCAUGCCUGUUCGAGCGUCAUUAUCCUCCCUCAAACCCCGUGUUUGGUGUUGGACCGCGUUGGUCGAGCGACCAACUGGUCUCAAAGAUAAUGACGGCGUCCGUGGGACCCUCGGUGCAACGAGCUUUUAACGAGCACGCGUCGAGUUUCAAGGACCCUCCGGGCCGGUCUAGACCUCUAUAUCUUUCUCAGGUUGACCUCGGAUCAGGUAGGAAUACCCGCUGAACUUAA